UGUCCAUCGCCAAGUUGCCAG
rnacentral:miRNA from 1 species